rnacentral:SRP_RNA from 1 species
GCUGGGCACGGUGGUGCAUGCCUGUAGUCCCAGCUACUCAGGAAGCUGAGGUGGGAGGAUCGCUUGAGUCCAGGAGUUCUGGGCUAUAGUGCGCUAUGCCGAUUCGGUGUCCGCACUAAGUUCGGCGUCAGUAUGGUGACCUCCUGGGAGCGGGGGACCACCAGGUUGCCUAAGGAGGGGUGAACUGGCCCAGGUCAGAAACAGAGUGGGUCAAAACUCCCAUGCUGAUCAGUAGUGGGAUUGUGACUGUGAAUAGCUACUGUACUCCAGCCUGGGCAACAUAGACCCCGUCUCU